rnacentral:rRNA from 1 species
UGGGGAAUUUUACGCAAUGGGCGAAAGCCUGACGUAGCGACACCGCGUGAGCGAAGAAGCCUUUUGGGGUGUAAAGCUCUGUCAGCUGGAACGAACACAAUGACGGUACCAGCAGAGGAAGCAUCGGCUAACUACGUGCCAGCAGCCGCGGUAAGACGUAGGAUGCAAGCGUUGUCCGGAUUUAUUGGGCGUAAAGAGUUCGUAGGCGGUUAGUUAAGUCUGGUGUUAAAGACCGUGGCCCAACCACGGA